rnacentral:rRNA from 1 species
CGGGUGAGUAACGCGUGGAUAAUCUACCCUUAAGAUGGGGAUAACGGCUGGAAACGGUCGCUAAUACCGAAUACGCUCCCGAUUUUAUCGUUGGGGGGAAAGAUGGCCUCUGCUUGCAAGCUAUCGCUUAAGGAUGAGUCCGCGUCCCAUUAGCUAGUUGGUGAGGUAAUAGCCCACCAAGGCGACGAUCGGUAGCCGGACUGAGAGGUUGAACGGCCACAUUGGGACUGAGACACGGCCCAG